AAACAAGUAAACUGCCAUUCAAACAGCAAAGAAGCUUCUCACAUAGCUACCUGAAUUUAGUUUAUUCCACAUUACAUAAGAGUUCAAAUUUAGAACCAAUACACAAAAUAAUCACUUAAAAUGUUUUUCAGCAUGUUGAAAUGAGCAACUAUUUUGCUAACUAACUUCCAUGCUCUUGGCAUGAAAUUCACUUUACCUUUUUGAAGCCUAAUCAUUAUGCUCUGCCCAGAGACAUACAAGUUGCUUAGGGAGUGAAAUCCAUCUCUCCCAAACUGCGGCCAGGCUGUGAUAUGACAGAGAUAUCCUACAAAAAAGUGCAUGGGUUCUGACCAUGGUAACAGGCACUAACACUUCUGUACUUCUCUAGGGUUACAAGAAAUACAUCAAAAUGAAUUUCAGCAUCUGGUACUGCGUGCACAUGUGAGAAAUGGUGGUUAUUCUGUACAGCCCCAGGACUGGAAGGACAGACUCAUGUAAUGGACAGUGACUAAGUCACCGACGUUAGUUUCAGAAGCAUACACAAGACUUCAACUCCUUUUUGUGACAGCAAACAUAAAAUAUCUUCCGAGACUUUGUAGUAAACAUAAAGAUCUAUACUGGAAAAAGUCAAGAGUAUCAGAACUACAAUGUGCCACAAAGAAAAGAUAAAAUCAAAACCUUCACUGCAUCCUUAAGAUUCUUUACAUGGAUGGAACUUUCUAUGCAAAACAUCCCCAAUGUUUCCUGUACAGAGCAGGGUAAAACAACAUCCUUAGCUGCUGUUUUGCAAAAUGCUCCAUGCAAACCAGACUGGAGUUACAACGCUUUCUUCCAAUGAAUGUCAUAAACUGUGGUUAAUUCCACCAUGGGAGCAGGGAGUGGGCUCAGAUGGCGUGGAGUUCAGUGACUUCACCACGUGUGGAGACCUGAAGAGGAUUCUGAGAAAUCAGGUCACAGAGUUCCAACCACUCAGGCCACAGCAACAGCAAUCAAAAUGCUGCACAAGAAGGGACGUGCCGGGGGCAUGUCUGCAGUGGCAGCGGUGAGAAGAGAAGUGAUUCGAGUGGCUAGGACAGAGCCACAAACAGCAUGAAAUCAGACUAUCUGUAUACAGUGGCCACUUUGUGCUAGCUAGAAAUCAGUCACUUUUUAAGUUUUAAUAAUGCAUUUCUCCUGCUGUAGUGAGACAAUUUAGUCUUUUGGACAUUACAAAUCAGUCUAACUGAAGACUGACAGUAAACUAGCUUUAGGUCUCAGAAGAGGAAGAUUGGAGGUGUUUUUUGUGUAGUAUAAAAGAUUAUUCCCUUCCCAUGCAUGUGAUGACAUUCUCAUAAACUGAAGCAAUAUAGAUGGCAGAAUACUUUUUACUGAGAGUCACCUGAAGAGGCUGCAUGGGCACCAAUGCUGCUGUUACCCAGGAACUCUCAGUACAGACACCGUAAUUUUUCUUUAUACUCAGGUAGAGAGGAGCUUCAUUUUCAAUAGCUUCUGUUUUGCAACAAGAAAGAUGACCAAAAACAUUGCAUGAACAUUGCAUCAGAAGUGUACAAUUGACUCAUUUUGGCACCUGACCUCAAGACACUAUCAAAACACGGAAAUAUUGAAAUGAACAAGAGGGUUAUAACAUACAUAAGAGAAAGAGAAAUGCGAUUAGAAACAGAAGUUUUGCCACAAGGCUGUAUUUAGACUGCUAAAGCAAAACAAAAGAACAAAUAAAAUUGUAUUAAUCUAUUUUUGCCCA
rnacentral:lncRNA from 1 species